AUUGAACGCUGGCGGCAGGCCUAACACAUGCAAGUCGAACGAGUGGCGGACGGGUGAGCAACGUCUGGGAAUCUGCCUGAUGGAGGGGGACAAAUACAGGAAAAGGUAGCUAAUACCGCAUACCAUCAGCGGUGCCCAGAUGGGAUUAGCUGGUUGGUGGGGUAACGGCCCACCAAGGCGACGAUCCUUAGCUGGUCUGAGCGGAGGACCGUACACACUGUACUGGGACCACGGCCCAGCUUCCCACGGUGGGCGGCAGUGGGGAAUAUGGCACAAUGGGCGCAAGCCGGGUGCAGCCAUGCCGCGUGUAUGAAGAAGGCCUUCGGAUGGUACAGUACUUUCAGCGAGGAGGCGUUACCCGCAGAAGAUACACCGGCUAACUCCGUGCCAGCAGCCGCGGUAAUAG
rnacentral:rRNA from 1 species